AAUGAACGCUGGCGGCGUGGAUUAGGCAUGCAAGUCGUGCGCGAAAGCCUUCGGGUGAGUAAAGCGGCGAACGGGUGAGUAACACGUAACCAACCUGCCCCUCAGAUCGGGAUAACUGCUGGAAACGGCAGCUAAUACCGAAUGGUCCCGGAUGAUGGCAUCAAAAACCGGGUAAACGGCGGCUUCGGCCGUUGCUGAGGGAGGGGGUCGCGGGCUAUUAGCUAGUUGGUGGGGUAAAGGCCUACCAAGGCAAUGAUGGCUAGCCGGUCUGAGGAGGACCGACCGGUCACACGUGGGACUGA
rnacentral:rRNA from 1 species